rnacentral:rRNA from 1 species
UACGUAGGGCGCAAGCGUUAUCCGGAAUUAUUGGGCGUAAAGGGCUCGUAGGCGGUUUGUCGCGUCGGGAGUGAAAACCUCAUGCUUAACAUGUGGCUUGCUUUCGAUACGGGCAGACUAGAGGUAUGCAGGGGAGAACGGAAUUCCUGGUGUAGCGGUGAAAUGCGCAGAUAUCAGGAGGAACACCGGUGGCGAAGGCGGUUCUCUGGGCAUUACCUGACGCUGAGGAGCGAAAGUGUGGGGAGCGAACAGG